rnacentral:ncRNA from 2 species
GUGUUAUCUCGAGUGGUGGAGGGAUUGGCCCUUUGAAACCACAGCAACCGAUCCUUGAGCCGUUUAUAUGGUAUUAGGAUGUCAGGUGCUAAUUCCAACCCCCUUUGGGGGAAAGAUGAGAC